AAAAAAAAAUGCCAACGCCAAAGUCGGGGCAAGUCCCCCGGCUUUGCGGUGCAUCCACCUGUCUGCUAUUGAUUGUCUGACAUUUUUGUAUUGAUGCAAAGAUACAAUUA
rnacentral:misc_RNA from 1 species